rnacentral:rRNA from 1 species
AGAGUUUGAUCAUGGCUCAGGACGAACGCUGGCGGCGUGCUUAACACAUGCAAGUCGAACGAGGUGCUUGCACCUAGUGGCGAACGGGUGAGUAACACGUGAGCAACCUGCCUUGGCUCUGGGAUAGCCUCCGGAAACGGGGAUUAAUACCGGACAUGACCCUCCUCUGCAUGGUGGGGGGUGGAAAGUUUUUCGGCCAG